CUUCACAUGGCCUUCUGCACUGUGUAUCUGCGUUUCUGUUUUCUUAGAAGGACACCAGUCAUUGGAUUAGGGCCCACUCUAAUCCAGGUUGGCUUCAUCUUAACUAAUUAUAUCUGCAAAGACCCUAUUGCCAAACAAGGUUACAUUCUGAGAUUUUGGGAGCUGGGACUUUAACA